GGGGGCAUAGCUCAGUUGGGAGAGCAACAGACUGAAGUUGGUGUCUACAUCCGUUUAGUCUUCUGGAGGUCCCCAGUUCAAUCCUGGGUGCCCCCA
rnacentral:tRNA from 1 species